CCUACGGGGGGCAGCAGUGAGGAAUAUUGGUCAAUGGUCGGAAGCCUGAACCAGCCAAGUCGCGUGAGGGAUGAAGGUUCUAUGGAUCGUAAACCUCUUUUAUAAGGGAAUAAAGUGCGGGACGUGUCCCGGGUUGUGUGUACCUGAUGAAUAAGGAUCGGCUAACUCCGUGCCAGCAGCCGCGGUAAUACGGAGGAUCCGAGCGUUAUCCGGAUUUAUUGGGUUUAAAGGGUGCGCAGGCGGUCUUUUAAGUCAGCGGUGAAAGGCCGGGGCUCAACCCGGGAAUCGCCGUGGAAACUGGGAGGCUCGAGGAGGAUGGAGGUAUGCGGAAUGCGCGGUGUAGCGGUGAAAUGCUUAGAUAUCGCGCAGAACUCCGAUUGCGAAGGCAGCCUGCCAGCCCAUGACUGACGCUGAUGCACGAAAGCGUGGGGAUCAAACAGGAUUAGAUACCCGAGUAGUC
rnacentral:rRNA from 1 species